rnacentral:rRNA from 1 species
UUGCGCCUACGGGGGGCAGCAGUGGGGAAUAUUGGGCAAUGGGCGAAAGCCUGACCCAGCAACGCCGCGUGAAGGAAGAAGGCUUUCGGGUUGUAAACUUCUUUUGACAGGGAAGAGCAGAAGACGGUACCUGUCGAAUAAGCCACGGCUAACUACGUGCCAGCAGCCGCGGUAAUACGUAGGUGGCAAGCGUUGUCCGGAUUUACUGGGUGUAAAGGGCGUGUAGCCGGGCUGACAAGUCAGAUGUGAAAUCCGGGGGCUCAACCCCCGAACUGCAUUUGAAACUGUAGUUCUUGAGUACUGGA